UCGUAACAAGGUCUCCGUUGGUGAACCAGCGGAGGGAUCAUUACCGAGUUAUACAACUCCCAAACCCACUGUGAACCUUACCUCAGUUGCCUCGGCGGGAACGCCCCGGCCGCCUGCCCCCGCGCCGGCGCCGGACCCAGGCGCCCGCCGCAGGGACCCCAAACUCUCUUGCAUUACGCCCAGCGGGCGGAAUUUCUUCUCUGAGUUGCACAAGCAAAAACAAAUGAAUCAAAACUUUCAACAACGGAUCUCUUGGUUCUGGCAUCGAUGAAGAACGCAGCGAAAUGCGAUAAGUAAUGUGAAUUGCAGAAUUCAGUGAAUCAUCGAAUCUUUGAACGCACAUUGCGCCCGCCAGCAUUCUGGCGGGCAUGCCUGUUCGAGCGUCAUUUCAACCCUCGAGCCCCCCCGGGGGCCUCGGUGUUGGGGGACGGCACACCAGCCGCCCCCGAAAUGCAGUGGCGACCCCGCCGCAGCCUCCCCUGCGUAGUAGCACACACCUCGCACCGGAGCGCGGAGGCGGUCACGCCGUAAAACGCCCAACUUUCUUAGAGUUGACCUCGGAUCAGGUAGGAAUACCCGCUGAACUUAAGCAUAUCAAUAA
rnacentral:misc_RNA from 1 species